CUACGGGUUGCAGCAGUGGGGAAUAUUGCACAAUGGGCGCAAGCCUGAUGCAGCCAUGCCGCGUGUAUGAAGAAGGCCUUCGGGUUGUAAAGUACUUUCAGCGGGGAGGAAGGGAGUAAAGUUAAUACCUUUGCUCAUUGACGUUACCCGCAGAAGAAGCACCGGCUAACUCCGUGCCAGCAGCCGCGGUAAUACGGAGGGUGCAAGCGUUAAUCGGAAUUACUGGGCGUAAAGCGCACGCAGGCGGUUUGUUAAGUCAGGUGUGAACUCCCCGGGCUCAACCUGGGAAAUGCAUCUGAUACUGGCAAGCUUGAGUCUCGUAGAGGGGGGUAGAAUUCCAGGUGUAGCGGUGAAAUGCGUAGAGAUCUGGAGGAAUACCGGUGGCGAAGGCGGCCCCCUGGACGAAGACUGACGCUCAGGUGCGAAAGCGUGGGGAGCAAACAGGAUUAGAUACCCUCGUAGUC
rnacentral:rRNA from 1 species